AAAUCCUCUGAGAACACUCUAUGUAGUACUUUUGCUCUCAGAGAUUUUCCUGUUUUCCUAUUAUGAAUCUCUUCAUCUUUGUUUCCUUUGAUUGUAGUGAGGUCUGCCACUUGAGAAGUGUCAUAAAUUCUCAAAUAUCUUGAACCACCAAAUAAAAAACCCAUCUCAGGAUUCUUGUAAAGGCAACAGUAUUGUUCCUUCUUUUCCCAGCCUAUGAAAAG
rnacentral:misc_RNA from 1 species